rnacentral:sRNA from 1 species
GCACCUCAUAAAACGGGUGCCGGGAUUGGAACCCCGCCGACAAACGAAGCGCACAGCCGCGCCAGCGGUUUUUUU